AUUACUCAUUUCUUGUCUUUAAUCUUAUUUUCCCAUUAUUACAUAAAGUGGGGGGCUUUUGGUCAUUUUUCGAGGGGCUUUUUGUCAUGACGUGUGUU